GAAAGUGCURCAAGCUGAACUACAUGGCAAGUUAACUUGUAUCAGUUGUUUUCUGCUAUUCUCAGGUAGUCAAGCGGUACCAAAUUUAUAACUUUCUUAUAAAUUCCUGUUCUAGCUUGCAAUAUACCAGAUUAACAGAGCGUAAGUUCUACUUAAUUUAUCAACAUAUGACUGUUGCGACUGAUUGACGUGCUAAGACUUGUUUCCAUGAGAUGAGAGCAGCAAAAUGCAGAUGACUUGAGCAUAGGAAGAUCUCAUUCCUUCCCCUGUCUCACCUUCCACCUCUGUGUUUUUCAGCCUUAGAGCUGGCUCCAUCCAGGACCAAUUCACAGAAGCUUUUUGUUUUUUCUGAUCAAGUGUAUGUAAGAUGAGAUACAAGUAUAUGUGAAAAAUGUACCCUGUCUGCACCACCCCUACCCCAUUCAUUCUUGCGCACACACUCGGCAAGUACAGUGCUAGUGUUCUUUGCCCCUUCUUCAGCGCUGCCUGAGCUGRAGUAGCAACCCAGGUCUUCAAGGCAGAGGAGGGACAAGGGCCUGGCUGUAAUGGGUGAAAUGAGCUGCUAGGAUGUGCAGAGGCUACUUGAGCCUGUUUGGAAAGAAUGAGGAGAGGAAGAGGGUGAGCACAGACUCCGGUUACUCUGGCUUUCUAUUAGAUCUGCUUCUGAGCUCACUCUGUUCAGGAGUAACUGAGUGAAAUUUAAUAGCCAGUGUACUCAGCAGCCAGAAUAGUGGAUUCAGUUGCUUCCUUCUGUCUUAAAUGCUCUGAAUUGAACUGGGGGGAAAACAAUCAAGUAUAACACUGUUCAGCAAAAUCCAUGAAAGAAAAUUUGUAAGGGGAAAAGAGAGCAAGGGAAAGUUGCUUGCCUCACUCUAUUCCAUUUAUACAWGGAUGUAUUUACAAGGUGGUAGUUCUAUUGUAUGUGCUUAUACAUGAGAAAAAUGAGAACUCUCUCUUCCCACCUGACAGAACAGGAUAAUAGGAUUAYAGAAGCUAAAAGCCUCUUGCUGGAGUUGGAGCAAUGCUGCAGUCGCUCAGACAACACUCUACUACACGCUACAGUAUGCGCCCCACAGUGAGUAACUAUUGUUUCUUCUGAUUUUGUUGUUGUUGUUCUGUUUUACUCCUGUCUCUCUGCUACCCUUUGAAUGCUAAAUAUACUACAGCUAGGAAGACCCUUAGGACUGCUCCUUAAAUAUUAGCCAGAAGUUAGGUUUUCCAACCUCAUUCAUUCUCUGCACCAUUUGUCAAGAGAUUCUAYAGUGGCUUAAAAUUCUCCUUUAGAAACAAUGCUUUUACCAUGUUGGUUUGAGAAGGAUUGAUUCUGUGAUUUCUGGGCAAGUUCUGCAUACAAGGGAAGCACUGUCUAAGACAACUGUCUAAGCUUUCUCAGCUACCUCUCUUGCCCAYCUUCAUUCCAUCACUUUUAACUUACUCAUAGAUAGAGGGCAAAAAUAAUGUCAAACAACAUGCAUAUAAUAUGGAAACAAGUUAUUGAAGGUUGAGUUGUAGUCAGGCACUAUUACUUUCAUUAUCAGAAUGUUUAAGGGCCAAUUCUAAAGCUUGAAUAUAUUUUGCUCUGAUAAAAUAAAACAGGCAUUUUAAUGAUCUGUUCCA
ensembl:lncRNA